rnacentral:rRNA from 1 species
UACAGAGGGGGCAAGCGUUAUUCGGAAUUAUUGGGCGUAAAGGACGCGUAGGCGGCCUGGCAAGUGGAAGGUGAAAUCCCUCGGCUUAACCGAGGAACUGCCCUCCAAACUGCUUGGCUUGAGUCCGGGAGAGGUGAGUGGAAUUCCCAGUGUAGCGGUGAAAUGCGUAGAUAUUGGGAGGAACACCAGUGGCGAAGGCGGCUCACUGGACCGGAACUGACGCUGAGGCGCGAAAGCGUGGGGAGCAAACGGG